CCUACGGGCGGCAGCAGUGGGGGAUAUUGCACAAUGGGGGAAACCCUGAUGCAGCGACGCCGCGUGGGUGAAGAAGCGCCUCGGCGCGUAAAGCCCUGUCAGCAGGGAAGAAAAUGACGGUACCUGAAGAAGAAGCCCCGGCUAACUACGUGCCAGCAGCCGCGGUAAUACGUAGGGCGCAAGCGUUAUCCGGAUUUACUGGGUGUAAAGGGGGCGCAGACGGCGAUGCAAGCCAGGAGUGAAAGCCCGGGGCCCAACCCCGGGACUGCUCUUGGAACUGCGGGGCUAGAGUGCAGGAGGGGCAGGCGGAAUUGCUGGUGUAGCGGUGAAAUGCAGAGAUGUCACGCAGAACUCCGAUUGCGAAGGCAGCAUGCCGGCGCGCAACUGACGCUGAAGCACGAAAGCGUGGGUAUCGAACAGGAUUAGAUACCCCAGUAGUG
rnacentral:rRNA from 1 species